AUCAUGUUCAAUUGCUUGUGAAUGGAGUCCUCCCUCCUUUGUCCAGGUGGUUUCAACAUUGUGUUGCAAUCCCUGUCGCUGGCUUGUGUGUUUUUAAAAACUUCUUAGAAGAGUAUCUUAACAGUACAUAACGAUAAAAUAUAUGACAAUUUUAUUUGCACGAAUUGUCAUAUCCAUAUAGCAGCAUCUUUUAAUAAUUUUGACUAUGUUUAAAUGAGAUCACCAAGAGAGACUAUAGCUCUGCACAGACAUGUGCAGGCAUGCCUAGGAAUUUGGCUUGCCUGCAGUUUAUCUGUCCCAGUUAAAGGCAGAUGCAGCCUUUUGCUUCCAUGGACAUUGAUGAGCUGGUAGAUGUGCUAACAGGGAGAGAGCUCACACACAGCAACUGGUCCUGAUCUAAUCACACACAUUCUUACAGUGCUGUUUGGCUCCAACUUGCCCAACUGCAGGAAUAUUUUCAGUUUUCCUUCCUGCCUCCUUGGACAGGGAUCACCCAAGUUUGGGUAAUCAAGCCGUUUGCAGUUUGCCACUUCUCCCCAGUCUGUGGCUAAAGAGGGGAAUUACAGGAUGGGAAAAGUGGCUUAGGCUGCAAUUCUGCUUUGCAGAUGAGAAGGAGCUUCCCUGGAGUACCUGCAAACAUACUGGGAAUGCUGACUCUUUACAGUUUGUCCCUAGACAUCUUGUUGAAAAGCUUCAGAACAACAGGAGUGGUAUCACAGGCAGAGGAUGGGGAUCAGCCUCUGAGUCUUGCCUACCCUCUUCUACCGCUUUUCUCCUUUCCUACAGCCCAAAAUGUCAAGCUAUUGAUUCGGAGGUGAUGUCAAGGUCAUUUGGGAUUCUGACACUUUCCUUGAGAGUUCUCCUUGGGAAUGCUUGGA